rnacentral:piRNA from 1 species
UCACAUUUUCUUCAAAUUCUUCCUCACU